rnacentral:tRNA from 1 species
GGGGUUGUGGCUCAGUGGUAGAGUACUCAUCUGACAUGCAUGAUGCACGAGACACUGGGUUCAAUCCUCAGCACCACA